rnacentral:tRNA from 1 species
GCCGAUGUGGUGGAAUUGGUAGACACGCACGACUCAAAAUCGUGUGCCGCAAGGCAUGUGGGUUCGAUUCCCACCGUCGGCA